GCGGGCAGCGUAUAAUGGCUAUUACCUCAGCCUUCCCAGCUGAUGAUGCGGGUUCGAGUCCCGCGGCCCGCUCCA
rnacentral:tRNA from 1 species